rnacentral:rRNA from 1 species
GUGCCAGCCGCCGCGGUAAUACGGAAGGAGCAAGCGUUGUUCGGAUUUAUUGGGCGUAAAGGGAGCGUAGGUGGUUGAUUAAGUGGGGCUUUCCAGCACUCGGCUUAACCGAGUGAUUGGCUCCAAACUGGUCAACUUGAGUCCGCUAGGGGAUACUGGAAUUCCGGGUGUAGGGGUGAAAUCUACAGAGAUCCGGAGGAACACCGAUGGCGAAGGCAGGUAUCUGGGGCUGGACUGACACUGAGGCUCGAAAGCCAGGGGAGCAAACGGGAUUAGAUACCCCAGUAGUCC